GCGGAUUGCUGGUGUCGUGUUUUGGGUGGAAAGCGCGGCCACUUCAUUCAUGAGAGCUGCAACUUGCGAUUGCAGAUCAUUAACAAAUUGUUGGGUAGCUGGGAUAUCGUCCUCAACGAAUUGUUGAGAUCGUGUUUUUUGAACCAUCGUGAACUGGUUAGUGAUGUCGGAGCGUAGCAGAGCUCUGAUACCAACCUAACGCAGCGUACAAAUGGGCGAACGGUCGAUCUAAAAAUUUAGGGUUCUUCGAGACCUGUUCUUGGAUCGAUC
rnacentral:lncRNA from 1 species